AACGUAGGACACAAGCGUUAUCCGGAGUUACUGGGCGUAAAGGGCGUGUAGGCGGGAUGAUAAGUCUACUCUGAAAGCUCCUGGCUAAACUGGGAGAGGCGAGUGGAGACUGUCGUUCUAGAGUGAGGAAGAGGAAAGUGGAAUUCCGCGUGUAGUGGUGAAAUGCGUAGAGAUGCGGAGGAACACCAGUGGCGAAAGCGACUUUCUGGUCCUUAACUGACGCUGAGGCGCGAAAGCAUGGGGAGCGAACGGG
rnacentral:rRNA from 2 species